rnacentral:rRNA from 1 species
UGGGGAAUAUUGGACAAUGGGGAACCGUAGCAUCCAGCAAUGCCGCGUGAGUGAUGAAGGCCUUAGGGUUGUAAAGCUCUUUUACCCGGGAUGAUAAUGACAGUACCGGGAGAAUAAGCCCCGGCUAGCUCCGUGCCAGCAGCCGCGGUAAUACGGAGGGGCGUAGCGUUGUUCGGAAUUACUGGGCGUAAAGCGCACGUAGGCGGCUUUGUAAGUUAGAGGUGAAAGCCCGGGCUCAACUCCGGAAUUGCCUUUAAGACUGCAUCGCUAGAAUUGUGGAGAGGUGAGUGGAAUUCCGAGUGUAGAGGUGAAAUUCGUAGAUAUUCGGAAGAACACCAGUGGCGAAGGCGACUCACUGGACACAUAUUGACGCUGAGGUGCGAAAGCGUGGGGAGCAAAACA